ensembl:lncRNA
CGACUCGUAUGCUACUGUACCACAGAUCUAGGAUAGGAUUACUUUACUCCCAUACUAUCCUUAAUCACCAGGGGAGUGAAAGUGCCAUUCACAGUGUAUUCAACACAGAAACAGGAGAAACUUUAAAUGUCUAGAAAUGUCCGGAGCUACGGGUCAACCAAAAACACUUGUAACGCCCGUCGGAAGAAGUGGACCAAGGUGCAACGUGUUCAUGAUUCUUGAAUUAAUCCGAACACCAACCAAAACAACGUAAUGUUCUGAAGGCUACACAGAGCUAACAAAAAAACAACAUCCCACAACCUAAGGUGGCCAAACAGGCUGCCUAAGUAUGAUUCCCAAUCAGAGACAAUGAUAGACAGCCGUCCCUGAUUGAGAACCAUACUCGGCAAAAACAUAGAAACACAAAACAUAGAAAUAAAGAACAUAGAAUGCCCACCCAAAUCACACUCUGACCAAACCAAAAUAAAGACAUAAAAAGGAUCUCUAAGGUCAGGGCGUGACAACACUUGGCCUGAUGGUUCAUGCAGAUACUUGGGAAGCAAUAUAGAAAUGUAUUGAUCCCUUAAAUGAUUUUACUAUUAAAUGACCCAUAUUACAACCCUCAUACCCCUUCACAAAAAUAUACCUAAAUCAAUUUUGGAAAAAUGAUUUUACUCACAAUGACCUUCCAGUGGUUCUGGUUCACAUUCAAGAAACUCAUGAUAGCAUUGUAGUUACCUGAAGUUCACCUGAAAUAAAUAAUUUGUAUGAUCGUGUUAUUGCUGACAAUACUGUGUUUACAUGAUGACACAUCUUCACUAUUUACUUUAAAGUGACAGAAUAAAGGCCAUAAAUAGUGUACGUCAUCAGAAACAUUCAGUUAGCCGUGAGCCAGGCGCAUCUCCCGGAUAGAAAACUAAAUUACUACAACUACAAUACCUCUUUCGCCAUCUGGAUCCUUAGUCGACACUGCACCUCGCCGCACCACCACGGCAGGUCUGCCGACGAAUACUCCAUCCGCUGUGCCUUCAACCGGCCUCCGUCGGAUGUCGGAGCAGACGCUUCUACUGGCCCCGGGCUACUAACUUUAAACGCCGCGUCGCCCGCGUGAUAGCAUGGUAGCUACUACUCCGCGGCUUCCCUGUUCCUUCUAUUGCUGCCCCCUGGACCCCAUGAUCACUUGAU